GCCACGUCUCGCGGGAAGGUCACCAAGAAGUUGGUGAUGAUGCAGGUGAGUCGGGGCACGUCGGGGGAUGAGUUGAGCUCCAGAAGCAGCUCGUGGAGCGCGGCGGGGCAGUUUCUGACGAUGGAGAACCAGACGUUGAGCAGGAGCUGGCGGUAGCCGAACUCGGUGUUGACGAAGGUGAUGUAGAAGCCUUUGGAGUGCAGAAGCUGCGCGAGCUGGAGCAUGGGGUUGAGUUGCCCUGCCGUCGGGUAAGUUAUCAGCACUGCAUGAGGAAGAGGCAUCUUCUUCUUCUGCAAAAUUUGCGCUCGGUACUGUUGUUUCGCUGCUUGCAGGUUUAUUUAUAGAAGAAGAGCAGCCGUCACUUCGUCUUCUCCGCCAUGUCUUCACCGUCUGUAAAGCAGAAUGGGCGGUCCGAGCCAGUUCAUCUCGUCAAAGGAGACGACGCAAUAAUAAUAAAAACAAAAUUUUUAAAUGAGAAUUUUAUUUUGUAAAAGCCCCCGAUAAUUUAUCAUAUUUUGACUGUUGACCCUCAUAGUUGGAAUAUUGUAUUUUAUCCUUAAAAUUUGCAUGACUUUUAUUUUCUCAAA